rnacentral:lncRNA from 1 species
AACGCAAUUUUGUCCGGCAUAGGGUGGAUGGAAAACAUUUGAGGUGUUUUCAGAAUGACAACGCCGUUUUCAAAUUUCUUCAGCGUGGUGUGGACGUGGUCUUAGUUGACUUGCUCCUUCUGUAAUAAAGAAACGGGAACAAACUAUUAAAAUAGCGCUUUUCCUUGCUCUUACAAAAUUGCCGGUUAGUUAGAAGCUAUUGGUUUAUUUUAGGAUCCUGUUUUGCAUCAUGGCUGGAGAACUGGAGCUAUAAUUCCUGAACUAGAGUGGGAAAUCAAGCAAAGUAACUCGCUGGAUUUCAAGCGUUCUGUUGUGUGGUUAAGUAAUAUUCAAGAUCUGAUCAUCCAGCUGAAGGCCUUUCCCCCAAGCGCAAGAAGGGCACACCUUCUAGAAGGGUGGAAACAAGAAAGAAGAGAACUAAGGUAUACGUUGAAAGCGAUGUUCAACCCAAGAUUUGGCAGCGUCUUUAGGACGUAUAACAAUUCCACUUAUUUCACACGGCGUUUGGUGCGCUUUGCUGAUCUCUACAUGUCGUCAGUUGAGAACCUGCUGAACUAUCCCAGCAACUACACCUUCUACCCGCGCAGAACAGCGCUUCCGCACGAGGCAGUGUUGGAUUUCAGAUCAAGUGGAAUUCCUGACCAGCGCAUAUUUCCUAAUACUUAAGUAAAGCUACUUACAAGUCUGCUAGUGUGGAAAGUGAGAGAAAGUGGCCAGGGUGGUGAUUUUGGUCAGACUUGAAGCACAAAUACCCUGGCGACUUAUUAGACAAACGUUUGGGUGUAAGUGGUCCUUGAAAGGUACUUGUAAUAGUUAGAGUGGUUUUCAAUUGAGCGUCGUAAAACCAAAACCAAAGUGAUCACCCUAGCCAAUCACAAAGGACGCAGACAAUACAGUGAACCAAUGAAAAUUCGAAGUAAUUGCAUGUAGCUGACGUGAGGAGCGGGAAAAUGCAUGCGAACGCGUCACGAUUGGUUUUGGUUGUACUUCUGAUUGGAUGAAAAAGUGGCGCGAGUUUUUUAAGCCAAUCGUGUGGCGUAGAAAGUGCAAAACCGAUUACUUUUCGGCACUCAAUUGAAAACGCUCUAUAAGAGAAACUGGGUGUUUGGUUACUAAACAAUUAUUGGAUGAGGUUUUUAUGGUGACAUGAUUACCCGUAACCUUGAGUGUCCUUGACAUGAUUAUUGUAUAAUCUGCAGCUAGAUGAGGUCACAGGCGCUCAUUUCGAAAGUUCUUUGUACGCUUUCGGCCAAUCAGAAAAGAAGUAGUGAGUUCAGUGUAUAAUAAUGCAUGAAACUUGUUUGAAUUCUUUUUGUUGGUUUUAAAGGAUAAUGUUAUUCUGAUACAAAAUUUUAGUGCAGAGGAAAUUAUUCUAUCAUAUCUACCAUCAGAAGAUAAUCGACGAAUCAUUGAAAUGAUGGAUUUAAGAGGUUUAUAUUUUAAAAAAAUCAACUAAAGUUGUACUCGCAUUUGAAAGAGAUAAUCACAAAGUAGAACGUAUCACGACUCAUUUUCAUGUUUAUUAUGAAAACACGUGAUAUAGUGCUUUAAAUUAAGAGUUUAUUUUUUGAAAAACGUUGAAAUGUGUACUGAUUAAGAAGAGUUUCAUGAUGAAUCUUAUAAUCUACAACAUCUGCUUUGAGACAUAGGUAAGUACAUCGAUUAUUUUAUGAUAUACACAGUAUAUUUAUCCGUUUGCAGAGUUCCUUGCACAAACACAAUACAAGUUCAGUUCCGAGCGGUAUGUGGAAAGUUCAAGUUACCUUGUGCCUCGGUUUCGAAAUGAGUCCUUGUGCAAACCUUUCAUAUGACAAUGGUUGAUUUGCACGAAAAUGAAUCUGCAGGCGAAAGACAUUUUCAUAUGAAUAGUUUCGCACGAAGAAUCGUUUUGACAGAGAGGCAAAAGGCAACUCGGAAAUGGCGUAUUGCCUAAAGAGAAAUAGUUAACUCUUGGCACAGUUGAACAAUAAAUUGGUUGUUUUUAUGCAAAGAAUUCUCCAGAACAACCAGUGUGUAAAGGUUACCUGAAAGUUACGACUGUCGUGUAAAACUGAUGAAGCCAAUCAGAUGGCUGGAGAGCCACAAUAGGGAUCUCAAGCAAUGACCAUGGCAAUGCCCAGGACAACGCGUAGUAAAAAAAAAAAAAAUGAAUUUAUGUAUAUUUUUUAAGAAUUCUCCAAUUAUUUAGCGGCAACGGGAACGGGAACGUCACCAAACAAAAGGUUUAACGACCAGAACAAUGGUUAUGCACGUGCGUUAUUAAUCUUUGUACACUUCGUAAC